rnacentral:rRNA from 1 species
CAUAGGUUAAUGAGGCGAACCGGGGGAACUGAAACAUCUAAGUACCCCGAGGAAAAGAAAUCAACCGAGAUUCCCCCAGUAGCGGCGAGCGAACGGGGAGCAGCCCAGAGCCUGAAUCAGUAUGUGUGUUAGUGGAAGCGUCUGGAAAGGCGCGCGAUACAGGGUGACAGCCCCGUACACAAAAAUGCACAUGCUGUGAGCUCGAUGAGUAGGGCGGGACACGUGGUAUCCUGUCUGAAUAUGGGGGGACCAUCCUCCAAGGCUAAAUACUCCUGACUGACCGAUAGUGAACCAGUACCGUGAGGGAAAGGCGAAAAGAACCCCGGCGAGGGGAGUGAAAAAGAACCUGAAACCGUGUACGUACAAGCAGUGGGAGCACGCUUAGGCGUGUGACUGCGUACCUUUUGUAUAAUGGGUCAGCGACUUAUAUUCUGUAGCAAGGUUAACCGAAUAGGGGAGCCGAAGGGAAACCGAGUCUUAACUGGGCGUUAAGUUGCAGGGUAUAGACCCGAAACCCGGUGAUCUAGCCAUGGGCAGGUUGAAGGUUGGGUAACACUAACUGGAGGACCGAACCGACUAAUGUUGAAAAAUUAGCGGAUGACUUGUGGCUGGGGGUGAAAGGCCAAUCAAACCGGGAGAUAGCUGGUUCUCCCCGAAAGCUAUUUAGGUAGCGCCUCGUGAAUUCAUCUCCGGGGGUAGAGCACUGUUUCGGCAAGGGGGUCAUCCCGACUUACCAACCCGAUGCAAACUGCGAAUACCGGAGAAUGUUAUCACGGGAGACACACGGCGGGUGCUAACGUCCGUCGUGAAGAGGGAAACAACCCAGACCGCCAGCUAAGGUCCCAAAGUCAUGGUUAAGUGGGAAACGAUGUGGGAAGGCCCAGACAGCCAGGAUGUUGGCUUAGAAGCAGCCAUCAUUUAAAGAAAGCGUAAUAGCUCACUGGUCGAGUCGGCCUGCGCGGAAGAUGUAACGGGGCUAAACCAUGCACCGAAGCUGCGGCAGCGACGCUGAUGCGUUGUUGGGUAGGGGAGCGUUCUGUAAGCCUGCGAAGGUGUGCUGUGAGGCAUGCUGGAGGUAUCAGAAGUGCGAAUGCUGACAUAAGUAACGAUAAAGCGGGUGAAAAGCCCGCUCGCCGGAAGACCAAGGGUUCCUGUCCAACGUUAAUCGGGGCAGGGUGAGUCGACCCCUAAGGCGAGGCCGAAAGGCGUAGUCGAUGGGAAACAGGUUAAUAUUCCUGUACUUGGUGUUACUGCGAAGGGGGGACGGAGAAGGCUAUGUUGGCCGGGCGACGGUUGUCCCGGUUUAAGCGUGUAGGCUGGUUUUCCAGGCAAAUCCGGAAAAUCAAGGCUGAGGCGUGAUGACGAGGCACUACGGUGCUGAAGCAACAAAUGCCCUGCUUCCAGGAAAAGCCUCUAAGCAUCAGGUAACAUCAAAUCGUACCCCAAACCGACACAGGUGGUCAGGUAGAGAAUACCAAGGCGCUUGAGAGAACUCGGGUGAAGGAACUAGGCAAAAUGGUGCCGUAACUUCGGGAGAAGGCACGCUGAUAUGUAGGUGAAGUCCCUCGCGGAUGGAGCUGAAAUCAGUCGAAGAUACCAGCUGGCUGCAACUGUUUAUUAAAAACACAGCACUGUGCAAACACGAAAGUGGACGUAUACGGUGUGACGCCUGCCCGGUGC